rnacentral:rRNA from 1 species
UACGUAGGGUGCAAGCGUUGUCCGGAAUUAUUGGGCGUAAAGAGCUCGUAGGCGGUGUGUCGCGUCGGCCGUGAAAACCUGGGGCUCAACUCUGGGCGUGCGGUCGAUACGGGCAUCACUUGAGUUCGGCAGGGGAGACUGGAAUUCCUGGUGUAGCGGUGAAAUGCGCAGAUAUCAGGAGAACACCGGUGGCGAAGGCGGGUCUC